CCUACGGGAGGCAGCAGUGAGGAAUAUUGGACAAUGGGCGAAAGCCUGAUCCAGCCAUGCCGCGUGUGUGAAGAAGGUCUUCGGAUUGUAAAGCACUUUAAGUUGGGAGGAAGGGCGGUUACCUAAUACGUAAUUGUUUUGACGUUACCGACAGAAUAAGCACCGGCUAACUCUGUGCCAGCAGCCGCGGUAAU
rnacentral:rRNA from 1 species